rnacentral:rRNA from 1 species
AGUGAACGCUGGCGGCGUGCCUAAUACAUUCAAGUCGAACGGAGUGGCGCGCGGGUGGGUAAUGUAUAGCUAAUCUGCCCUACACUAGAGGCCAACAGUUGGCAACGGCUGCUAAUACUCUAUAGUGUAGGAUGAGGCUAUAUUGUAUCAGCUAGUUGGUGAGGUAAUGUCUCACCAAGGCUAUGACGCAUAACUGGUCUGAGAGGAUGAUCAGUCACACUGGAACUGGGACACGGGCCGGACUCCUACGGGAGGCAUCAGUAGGGAAGAUUGCUCAAUGGGGGAAACCCUGAAGCAGGAAGGGGGCGUGGAGGAUGACACUUUGCGGAGCGUAAACUCCUUUUGUUAGGGAAGUGGUACCUAACGAAGAAGCACCGGGUAACUCCGUGCUAGCAGCCGCGGUAAUUC